UACGGGGGGAGCAAGCGUUGUUCGGAUUUACUGGGCGUAAAGGGCGCGUAGGCGGCCAGCACAAGUCAGUUGUGAAAUCUCCGAGCUUAACUCGGAAAGGUCAACUGAUACUGUGCGGCUAGAGUGCAGAAGGGGCAACUGGAAUUCUUGGUGUAGCGGUGAAAUGCGUAGAUAUCUGGAGGAACACCGGUGGCGAAGGCGGCAUCCUGGACCGACACUGACGCUGAGGAGCGAAAGCCAGGGGAGCAAACGGG
rnacentral:rRNA from 1 species